GUGCCCAUAGCUCAACCGGAUAGAGCGUUUGGCUACGAACCAAAAGGUUGGGGGUUCGAGUCCCUCUGGGCACACCA
rnacentral:tRNA from 1 species